rnacentral:rRNA from 1 species
CCUACGGGUGGCAGCAGUAGGGAAUAUUGCUCAAUGGGCGAAACCCUGAAGCAGCAACGCCGCGUGAAGGAUGAAUGUUCUAGGAUUGUAAACCCCUUUUGUUCGGGAAGAUAAUGACGGUAUCUAACGAAUAAGCACCGGCUAACUCCGUGCCAGCAGCCGCGGUAAUACGGAGGGUCCAAGCGUUACCCGGAAUCGCUGGGCGUAAAGGGCGCGUAGGCGGGAUAGCAAGUCAGAUGUGAAAUCCUAUGGCUUAACCAUAGAACUGCAUUUGAAACUGUUAGUCUAGAGUAUGGGAGAGGUAGGUGGAAUGCUUGGUGUAGGGGUAAAAUGCGUAGAGAUCAAGCGGAAUACUCAUUGCGAAGGCGACCUGCUAGAACAUAACUGACGCUGAUGCGCGAAAGCGUGGGGAGCAAACAGGAUUAGAUACCCUUGUAGUC